UCCACUUCAAUUUUCCUGGUGCUCUCUUGGUGUUGUGCCUCCGAUCAUCGUCUUUCCCUUCUCUUUCCCUUCUUCUAUCAGCAUUCUCCUUUCAUCUCCACUAGUUCGGUCUCCUCAUCUUGCUCUGUAACUUCCGUUGGCGUGGGGUGCGCGGCAGUGGUUCGGAGCAUCCUGAAUAUUGCUCUUUCUUUCUUUUCCUCCAGCUAUCUACGUGUCUAGGAAGUUCAAAUCCUUAACUCCCUCAAUUUUCGAUCAGCGUCUCCUCCCUGUGAUUAUUUUUGAAAUCAGUUCUGGCUUCCUUGUGAGUGUGGCUGCCGUGAGGAACUCCUGGAAUUCAACCACUUGUUUUCUUGUUUAUUCAUCCAACGCUAGCAAGGUACUUGUAGGAGGUGUUAGUCCCGUGCGCAGGCCAAUGCACGUGGAACGGAGGGAUGGAUAUUUGAGAAAUAUGGAAAAUCCUUCCAGCAGUGGCAUUGAAAAAGCAAAGACUAAUAGAGGUAAAAGAGGGGCCACACGACUAACUAAGUUAGCCCAAGCAUAUGGAAAGAUUCAUCUUGACUUUGAUGAAAAGGGCCAACCAAUUGAUAAGAAAAGAAGAAAUAUUUUUAAGAGUUUUGUGGGUCUUGUAGCUCGUCAAAAAAUUAGCAUCUUAGAGGAAGAUUGGGAUGAUAUAAAAGAAAGUGAUGAA